rnacentral:rRNA from 1 species
AGCGAACGCUGGCGGCAGGCUUAACACAUGCAAGUCGAGCGGGCAUCUUCGGGUGUCAGCGGCGGACGGGUGAGUAACGCGUGGGAACGUGCCUUCUGGUUCGGAAUAACUCAGGGAAACUUGAGCUAAUACCGGAUACGCCCUUUUGGGGAAAGGGUUACUGCCGGAAGAUCGGCCCGCGUCUGAUUAGCUAGUUGGUGGGGUAACGGCCUACCAAGGCGACGAUCAGUAGCUGGUCUGAGAGGAUGAUCAGCCACACUGGGACUGAGACACGGCCCAGACUCCUACGGGAGGCAGCAGUGGGGAAUAUUGGACAAUGGGGGCAACCCUGGUCCAGCCAUGCCGCGUGAGUGAUGAAGGCCUUAGGGUUGUAAAGCUCUUUUAUCCGGACGAUAAUGACGGUACCGGAGGAAUAAGCCCCGGCUAACUUCGUGCCAGCCGCCGCCGUAA